ensembl:lncRNA
GGAGACUGCAAACUCAAAUCCACUGCUUGUGGCUUUCCCCAAAGGCUGGGACAAGGGGUGACCUUCUCCUCUGCUCCCCUCAAAGUGCUCCUGGGUCCUUCUGGGCUCUGUGUGUGCAGCCCAUGUGGGUGCUGGGUGUGAGGCAGCAGUUUCAGCUUGGAGCUCAGGGAGCGGAGGUACCCGUGCAAGAAGUUAGGGACAACCACCACCAGGUUAAUGUUGCUGAUGUUUCUUAAGGAGCUGUUGCACACACUGGUUUUUCCUUCAUUUCAACAGCACAUCAUCGUGCAGUGUCACUGCAGGGUGGCAAAGAAAGACUUGGAAAAAGCACAUGAGACUUAUGUUAGCUCUAAACAUCAGAAGUUGGGGGAAAUUACUGUACAGAGAGUUCAAGACUACAAAUUGAAGCAAAUGUUUCUAUUUCUGCUCAUAAGAUUGAGUCAGACUAGCCCCAAAAUGUUAUGUGCCAUUUCUCAGAUGGCACGAGCUGAGCAUUAGCCCAUCAAUAACGCACUGUCUCUUAUACAGUGCAUUUGCAGCCCCAGUUUUCAUUGCACUUCAUAGCUGGGACAAAGAAGCAGAGGGUUUGGACAAAUGUGUAAAUGCUUCUUCAAUCCUCUAGGUGGAAGACUGAGAAAAAUCUCAUUACGGAUGUAACUUGUCCCAGCAAGCAAAACCACAAGUGCAGUCACUCCUUGGCCUUCUUUGUUCCAUGUCAGCUGUGAAUCAGGCAUGUGGGCUGGGAGGAUGGUGUGGGUCUGCGAGGUCGUCCACUGAAAUAGUCUGACAAACAGACCUCGGAGCCCACAGAUGGAUGUUGUGUCUCUUGACUCCUCUGUUCCAUACGCUGUUUUGCAAUAAACACAUCACUUCUUCUGUACAUUGUUGUGCAAAAGUGGAAAGAUGGGCUGUGCCCCAGCAGUGUGCUCCCUCUCCUGUGCAUUGGUUGGGCUGAGCAGUGUGGGGCUGGUGCAGGUCCAGCAGGGCUAUGCUGUGCUGUGUCGUGCUACAGCAACACCCUGCUGCAGAAAUACCCCACUACAUAAAUACCCCAUGGCAGUGACACCCCGCUGUGGCAAUACCUUGCUGCAGUCACAGCUGCAGCAGAAACAGCCCGCAGUGCAGGGCAGAGCCUGGCACAGCCCCACGGCACCGCGGCACUCCUUGCGCCGGGGAAAUCCCCAGCCAAAGGUAGCGAAAGCACAGUGUUGCCCCACAGAGCCAGACUGCUUAAUCCCCAGAAGCCUCGAGCAACCUUUGCCCCUUUCGAGUCUCUCUGGCCACGGCACAGAGCAGCAGGGCUGGAGCAGGGCUCUGCACCUCCACCAGUGCCCAGGCACAGCUCCAAGGGGAGCGAUGCCGAUCAACACUUGCUGACAGCCAGCAAUGCUGCUGCCAUCGGAGACGUCUUUAUUGCAGCGAGUGAGAGGAGCAGAUGGUCUCUCAGUCAGCAUCUCCAUAAAUGUGAGUGCUUGUGGCUAUAAAAGAAAACUGCCAUAAAGAGAUGUUGCUAAGCUUUCCUCACAGUGUUAUUGCUCAGCUUUCCUCAUGAGCCAUGGUGACCCUCUUCCAAAGAAAGAGCAUAAAUCAUUGCUCGCUUUCCCCUUUGACUCCUGGAUGUGCUGAGGACUAUGUAAUAAAUCACACUGCUCACUUCUAGAGAAAAACCA